rnacentral:rRNA from 1 species
UACGUAGGGUGCGAGCGUUAAUCGGAAUUACUGGGCGUAAAGCGUGCGCAGGCGGUUUUGUAAGCCAGAUGUGAAAGCCCCGGGCUUAACCUGGGAAUGGCAUUUGGGACUGCAAGGCUUGAGUGCGGCAGAGGAGACUGGAAUUCCUGGUGUAGCAGUGAAAUGCGUAGAUAUCAGGAGGAAUACCGAUGGCGAAGGCGGGUCUCUGG